rnacentral:rRNA from 1 species
CUACCAUGAGGAUCACGGGUACGAGGAAUUAGGGUUUGAUAUCGGAGAGGGAGCCUGAAAAACGGCUACCACUUCUACGGAAGGCAGCAGGCGCGUAAAUUACCCAAUCCCAAUUCGGGGAGGUAGUGACAAGAAAUAAUAACUCGGGUAGUGCAAACUACUACGAGAUUAAAAUGAGGACAAUGUAAAUAUCUUAGCGAGGAACAAUGAGAGGACAAGUCUGGUGCCAGCACCCGCGGUAAUUCCAGCUCUUAUAGUGUAUAUUAAAGUUGUUGCAGUUAAAAAGCUCGUAGUCGAUCAUCUAGUAGCGGCCAGUCUGGCUUCGGUCAGGUUGUGUUGUUGCUAUCUGCUCGAGAACUUCAUCUACCUUAACUGGUCGGUGAUGCUGAUCGGGCUCUUUCCUGAGAAAAAAUUAGAGUGUUCAAAGCAGGCCAAUGCCUUGAAUAUUACAGCUUGGAAUAAUAGAAUAAGACUGAAGUCUCUUUUAUUGGUUAUGAGCUUUAGUAAUGGUUAAUAGAAACAGUCGGGGGUAUUAGUAUUUAAUUGUCAGAGGUGAAAUUCUAUGAUUUAUUAAAGACUAACUUAUGCGAAAGCAUUUGCCAAGGAUGUUUUCAAUUGAUCAAGAACGAAAGUUAGGGGAUC